rnacentral:rRNA from 1 species
CGUCUGCAUNGCAGCGCGAACUGGAACGCUUGAGUACGCGCAACGUUGGCGGAAUUNGUCGUGUAGCGGUGAAAUGCUUAGAUAUGACGAAGAACUCCGAUUGCGAAGGCAGCUGACGGGAGCGGCACUGACGCUUAAGCUCGAAGGUGCGGGUAUCAAACAGGAUUAGAUACCCUGGUAGUCCGCACGGUAAACGAUGGAUGCUCGCUGUGUGCCUUUUGUGGUACGCGGCUAAGCGAAAGCGUUAAGCAUCCCACCUGGGGAGUACGCCGGCAACGGUGAAACUCAAAGGAAUUGACGGGGGCCCGCACAAGCGGAGGAACAUGUGGUUUAAUUCGAUGAUACGCGAGGAACCUUACCCGGGCUUGAACUGCCGGCGAACGAUCCAGAGAUGGUGAGGCCCCUCGGGGCGCCGGUGGAGGUGCUGCAUGGUUGUCGUCAGCUCGUGCCGUGAGGUGUCGGCUUAAGUGCCAUAACGAGCGCAACCCCUCUCCGUAGUUGCCAUCAGGUAGUGCUGGGCACUCUGCGGACACUGCCACCGCAAGGUGCGAGGAAGGUGGGGAUGACGUCAAAUCAGCACGGCCCUUACGUCCGGGGCUACACACGUGUUACAAUGGGGGGCACANCGAGUCGGCCGCGCGCAAGCUCGGUCCAAUCAAGAAAUCCCCCCUCAGUUCGGACUGGGGUCUGCAACCCGACCCCACGAAGCUGGAUUCGCUAGUAAUCGCGCAUCAGCCAUGGCGCGGUGAAUACGUUCCCGGG